rnacentral:rRNA from 1 species
GAUGAACGCUGGCGGCGUGCCUAAUACAUGCAAGUCGAGCGAACAGACGAGGAGCUUGCUCCUCUGACGUUAGCGGCGGACGGGUGAGUAACACGUGGAUAACCUACCUAUAAGACUGGGAUAACUUCGGGAAACCGGAGCUAAUACCGGAUAAUAUAUUGAACCGCAUGGUUCAAUAGUGAAAGACGGUUUUGCUGUCACUUAUAGAUGGAUCCGCGCCGCAUUAGCUAGUUGGUAAGGUAACGGCUUACCAAGGCAACGAUGCGUAGCCGACCUGAGAGGGUGAUCGGCCACACUGGAACUGAGACACGGUCCAGACUCCUACGGGAGGCAGCAGUAGGGAAUCUUCCGCAGUGGGCGAAAGCCUGACGGAGCAACGCCGCGUGAGUAAUGAAGGUCUUCGGAUCGUAAAACUCUGUUAUUAGGGAAGAACAAAUGUGUAAGUAACUAUGCACGUCUUGACGGUACCUAAUCAGAAAGCCACGGCUAACUACGUG